rnacentral:rRNA from 1 species
UACGUAGUUAGCCGGGGCUUUCUUCUCAGGUACCGUCACUCCGGGUGCAGUUACUCACCCGGACGUUCUUCCCUGGCAACAGAGCUUUACGAUCCGAAAACCUUCAUCACUCACGCGGCAUUGCUCCAUCAGGCUUUCGCCCAUUGUGGAAGAUUCCCUACUGCUGCCUCCCGUAGGAGUCUGGGCCGUGUCUCAGUCCCAGUGUGGCCGUUCACCCUCUCAGGUCGGCUACGCAUCGUCGCCUUGGUGAGCCGUUACCCCACCAACUAGCUAAUGCGCCGCAGGCCCAUCUCUCAGUGACAGCUUGCGCCGUCUUUCCUCAUCUCUCCAUGCGGAGAAAUGAUGUAUCCGGUAUUAGCAUCCGUUUCCGGAAGUUAUCCCAGACUGAAAGGCAGGUUGCCUACGUGUUACUCACCCGUCCGCCGCUAACUGUCAGAGAAGCAAGCUUCUCUUCCAAUCCGCUCGACUUGCAUGUAUUAGGCAUGCCGCCA